rnacentral:rRNA from 1 species
GCGGUGGAGCAUGUGGUUUAAUUCGAUGCAACGCGAAGAACCUUACCUGGUCUUGACAUCCACAGAACUUUCCAGAGAUGGAUUGGUGCCUUCGGGAACUGUGAGACAGGUGCUGCAUGGCUGUCGUCAGCUCGUGUUGUGAAAUGUUGGGUUAAGUCCCGCAACGAGCGCAACCCUUAUCCUUUGUUGCCAGCGGUCCGGCCGGGAACUCAAAGGAGACUGCCAGUGAUAAACUGGAGGAAGGUGGGGAUGACGUCAAGUCAUCAUGGCCCUUACGACCAGGGCUACACACGUGCUACAAUGGCGCAUACAAAGAGAAGCGACCUCGCGAGAGCAAGCGGACCUCAUAAAGUGCGUCGUAGUCCGGAUUGGAGUCUGCAACUCGACUCCAUGAAGUCGGAAUCGCUAGUAAUCGUGGAUCAGAAUGCCACGGUGAAUACGUUCCCGGGCCUUGUACACACCGCCCGUCACACCAUGGGAGUGGGU